rnacentral:rRNA from 1 species
GUCCCUACGGGGCGCAGCAGUGGGGAAUAUUGGGCAAUGGACGCAAGCCUGACCCAGCAACGCCGCGUGAAGGAAGAAGGCUUUCGGGUUGUAAACUUCUCUUAAGGGGGAAGAGCAGAAGAGGGUACCCCUUGAAUAAGCCACGGCUAACUACGUGCCAGCAGCCGCGGUAAUACGUAGGUGGCAAGCGUUGUCCGGAUUUACUGGGUGUAAUGGGCGUGCAGCAGGAGAGAC